AGGUAUCGAGUGAAGAUUCUUCUUCUUCACGUGUUACUCAUACUUUGAGAAACAAUCCAAUGUGCACUUGUGGGUCACCCGCCUCGCUUAGAACAUCGAAUACGCCAAGAAAUCCAGGUCGAUCAUUCUUUGGGUGUUCAAAGUAUAAUUCUUAGGGGUUACCACACUGCAAUUAUUUCAAAUGGGCAGAUAGUGAUAGCGGCCAUGAAAGAGAAAAAGAACUAGUUAAAAUAGAAAUUAACUCCUUAAGGAAUGAGGAAGAACUUCAGAAAACUAAGGCAGAGUUUCAGUUUCAACAAAUAGCCAAAGAGUUGCGAAGAAGAGAGGAAGAGGUUCAAAGAAGAGAGGAAGAGGUUCGAAAAAGAGAGGAAGAGGUUCGAAAUUGGAUGGAAGAGAUUCGAAAUUGGAUGGAAGAGGUUCGAAAAAGAGAUGGUGAAAUUGUCAAGAGGGACUUGGGAGUUGGCUGUCAAUGCAGAAAUAUAAAGCUCUAUCUUAUAAUUUGUAUAUUACUUUAUUUGUACUUCUCACGAUCACAGUGAAUACUCACUGAUUGUCAAACAUUUUGUAUAAAGCUUGAACUUGUGAAUUUGUGCUUUAGACUAGUAGUUAUGGAAAUGUGUAAGAAAUUAUUAGAACAAGUAGGCAACUGACAGAUCAUUCUGAUGAAACUGCUGAUUGUGUUUUUGAGCAAAAUGUGACUUGCAGCUCAUUUAGUUUGUU